CCAAAGUUAUGACAGCAACUUCCUUGUAUCUUCAACUAGCAAAGUAGAAGCCAGGAGAGUUUCACAUUUCUUGCAAGAAAUUUGGUCUCCACAAAUUCAAAAAAAAUUACAUUUAAGUGUUUCUUCCAAUUUAUAGGUGUGGUGACUUGUAUUCCAGCUAAGAAAAUGUCAACUGAAACUCCAAAUUCUCCUGUCUAGCCAGAAUGUACUGGAAUAUUUUGCCCAGAAAAAAGUAGUUUUAUACCUGAUUGUAAGAAAGUUCACUGGCAUACAGAUCAGUUUUUCAUAUCAUAAUUAUAGGAAUGAAUUCUAAGCUCUUUAUAUGUUGUUUUGGAAAGGAGAAAUAUCUAAAUUCUGAGCUCCACAUUAGUGAUGUGGGAAGGCGGCUUCCCUUAAUAGACCUCAUAUUCUCUUUGGAAGACUAUGCUAAUGCCUGAGCCAUUUUUGUUUCUGAGAGAAACACAAAGAAGGCUGAGAGUGGCAGUGCAUGGCCAUAAUCACAGCACCCUGGGAGGCUGGGGCAGGAAGAACUCAAGUUCCAAAGUUCCAACCAAGUUUGGACAAUUUAAUGACUUGGUAAGACUUUCGCUCAAAACAGAAUGCAUAAACUGUCCCCAGGAAAUUUGAAAUGAUGCAGGGGCUGGAUGGAAUUUUUUUUCCUACUCCACAGCUGUCUUCAGUAGACCUACUGCUUGAAUAAAUCAGAUGUCUAAUCAAUAAACUAUUUUCAUACUCAGAAUUUCAUAUUUUUUGUACUUCAGCAUAGUUUGGUUUUAUUCUUUACUAUAAGAAAGCUUAUUAGCAAUGUAAUUUAAGAUUUUGUUUUGCUUGAGGGUUGUGAUUUAAUUCAUGGGUACUUUUAGAACCUGAUAGGUAAUCCCUUUGCCUUUAUUUUUCUAAUUAAACUAUUCCUAAAUACUUUGAAAAUAGAAAAUAUUCCUGAAAGUAAGUGGGGGUGGGGGUGGGUGAUGUAGUUCAAAGUGAAGGCAGUGGGUUUAAUCUCCAGUACCACUAUAAAGAGAGGAGGGCAGAGGGGAGGGG
rnacentral:lncRNA from 1 species